rnacentral:lncRNA from 1 species
AGGGAUGAAUGGAGAAGUGAAUCGGCGUCGAAGGUAUUGAUUUCUAAAUUAUUCUGCAAUUUUAGUUUUCUUGAUUAUCCAAGAACCUUAUACAAUUUUCGCAUUCUUGAUUAUCCAAGAAGCUUUUUUUGCAAUUUUCGUAUUCUUGAAAACCCUAAAGGAAUUUUUGUUGAAAUAUUUUAAUGCAAUUCAUUAUAGACUAUAAAUUGUCGCUCAGAAAUAGCAUAAAAUUUUCAAACUAUUGGAUGCCUAAAUGAUCCGAAAGGAUAUUAUUUAUUCCAUCGAUGGUGUUUCUUCGCAAACGAUCUCGAAGAGGGAUGAAUGGAGAAGUGAAUCGGCUUCGAAGGCAUUGAUUUUUAAAUUAUUCUGCAAUUUUAGUUUUCUUGAUUAUUCAAGAACCUUAUACAAUUUUCGCAUUCUUGAUUAUCCAAGAUGCUUUUGCAAUUUUCGUAUUCUUGAAAACCCUAAAGGAAUUUGUGUUGAAAUAUUUUAAUGCAAUUCAUUAUAGACUAUAAAUUGUCGCUCAGAAAUAGCAUAAAAUUUUCAAACUAUUGGAUGCCUAGAUGAUCAUAAAGGAUAUUAUUUACUCCAUCAAUGUUGUUUUGGAUGUCUAAAUGAAGUAUUAUGAAUACUUUACUCAUAAUGUAAAAAGUUGGAUGCGAUAUUGAUAUGAAUUUUUUAUUCAAUGAAGUAUUAAGAAUACUUUACUUGCGAUAUUGAUGCCUAGAUGAUUCAACUGAUGCCUUGAAUUUGCUUCCGAUAUUGAGCCAUUGUAUUUGCUGAUUUAAAGUGAAUCACUCCAAGGGACAGUCACACUUCUAGUGAAGUGGGUCAUAAACUAUUUGGGGGAUUUAUAUCCAUUUCAGAAAUUCUAGCUAGAAAUACAAAUGCUUCAAUGUCCCUACAUGCCUUGAAUUUAGUUACAAUGCGUCGAUGACCCUAAUGAUGCCUCAAAAUUACUCGCGAUAUUGAUGCCUAGUUGACCCUACUAAUGCCUUGAAUUUACUUGUGAUAUUGAAUUAUUGAUGGCUCCAUGGUCCUACUGAUGCCUUGAGUUUACUUUUGAUAUUGAUGCCUCAAUGACUCUAAUGAUGCCUUGAAUUUACUUGCUAUAUUGUUGCCUUGAUGACCCUAAUGAUGCCUUAAUUUACUUGCGAUAUUGAUGACUUGAUGACCCUUGAGUUUGUUUUUAGCUUUGCAAACGUUGAAAUGUCCUAUUAUAAGAGGAGCAGGGCCAGAGGCACAUGAGGGUCAUACCAUAACAGUUGUUGGCCAACGACUCUUCAUCUUUGGUGGUUGUGGAAAAUCUGCUGAUAAUAACAAUGAGGUCUACUGCAAUGAUCUUUUACAUACUGAAUACAAGUAAUUUUCCCUCAUCAUACCGCAAUAAGGCUCAUUUACAUUUAACUGAGACCUCAUAUAGGUGACAUAAAUUAGGAUAAAUUGACCAGGAUUUCUUAUUCUGUUGAUUAUUUUUGCAAACUAGUUAAAACUAGUCAAUACUGCCUGAUUUGCUUUUUGAGCCUCAUUAUCAUUUCAAUUGUGAAUGAAAUUAUAAUUGGUUUUAACUUGUUUGUAGUUCUUGUUUGGAUACAUAGGGAGAACUAUGUAGCUGCAUUAUUUGGAUAUUGAUGCCUCAAUGACCCUAAUGAUUUCUUGAAUUUAUUUACAAUACUAAUGCAGUAAUGCCUCAAUGUCCCUGCAUGCCUUGAAUUUACUUGCAGUAUUGAUGCGUUGAUGACCCUAAGGAUGCCUCGAAAUUACUUGCGAUAUUGAUGCCUCGUUGACCCUACUGAUGCCUUGAAUUUACUUGCGAUAUUGAUGCCUCGUUGACCCUAAUGAUGCCUUGAAUUUACUUGCGAUAUUGAUGGCUCGAUGACCCUACUGAUGCCUUGAAUUUACUUGCGAUAUUGAUGCCUCAUUGACCCUAAUGAUGCCUUGAAUUUACUUGCGAUAUUGAUGACUCGAUGACCCUAAUAAAAUGAAGUAUUAUGAAUACUUUACUCAAAUGUAAAAGUUGCCUUAUUGCGAUAUUGAAAUGAAUUUUUAUUCAUUCAUGAUGCCUCGAUGACCCUAACUGAAGUAUUAUGAAUACUUUAGAUGAGAUAUUGAUGUCUUGAUGAUCCUAAUGAUGCCUUGAAUUUACUUGCAAUAUUGAUGCCUCGAUGACCCUACUUGAUGCCUUGAAUAUUCUUUAGAUAUUGAUGCCUCGGCCCUAAUGAUGCCUUGAGUUUACUUGAGAACAAGUUUUAAGGCCUUGUGCUGUGCCAAUAUGCUGUCUUUUGUCCCUUUGUAGUUAGAAAGUAAUAACCAAUAGACUAUGCCUCUACAGAGUUUUUAGGAUAGGGUUUUAUCAUUAUCUUCCUUAUGGUAUUCUGCUCAUGAUUUGUUUCACUGGCUUAUCAUUGAUGGUAUAUAGAGAUUUGGAAGCCCUCUUGUACUGAUUUGCUGUUUUGUUUGUACUGAAAAAUGAGAUUCUCUUGUCCAUCCCUUCUGGGAUAACUUUGCUCUUUCUAGUGUAACAUGACAUCAUAACACGAUACAUAAAAAUUGAAAUAACCGUCCUCCUUUAUCCUGUGGUUGUGAUUGAAAUUUUUUAUAGUACUUUUUGUGUGCAAAAUCAAAUGCAGUUAACUAAUAUGGCUCCGUGGAGAUUGGUUCCUUUAGUGAGAGCGUUUUUUGAAUUCCAUUUCACAUCGGCAGAAGACAAGCAGAAGGCGUGGUCAUUGGGUACCUACAAUCUCAAGCCUGGUUUGCUUAGGCUGUCCAAAUGGGAACAUGACUUCAAUCCCUAGACACAAUGUCAAACUUAUGCUCAAACAUGGGUUCGUAUUUACGGUCUCCCGCGUACUUUGUUCGAAAUAGCUGGCGGGCUAGGCACACCGCUUAUGCUUGAUGAGGCAACAAAGAACCGCACCUUUGGGCAUUACGCUAGGGUUUUGAUUGAUAUUGAUUUGUCCAAACGCUUGUUUGAUGAGAUUAUGGUUGAACGUGAGGGGUAUGCAUUUCACGUUGAAGUCGUUUAUGAGAAGCUACCAGAAUAUUGUAACCAUUGCCAUUUGAUUGGUCAUUCAGUGAAUUCUUGCAACAAAUUACAUCCCAAGGCACCUAUUAUCGGGAAAGGCAGGCCCAAGAAGGGAUUGGCAGUCCAACAACAAUAUAGACCUAAACCUAUUGAACAGGUGGGCACCUCACACUCUACUGAAAAAUCUGAUCAUGUGGCUGAAAAAUCUGUACCUGUUAUGCCAAAAUCCACUGCUGUGGCGGGCACUCAGGAACCACAAAUUGAUGAUUCUGAUACCGACACCGAGGAGGNNNNNNNNNNNNNNNNNNNNNNNNNNNNUUGUGAUAUUUGAACGGGAUGAUGGCCAGGGUAGGAAAAACACGCAUGAGGCCGAAUUUGUGAAGUCCCCUAGUGGACAAAAUAAUAAUAAUAAUGACGGUAAGGAUGCAGGGAUUAGUUGUUGAACAGAUACAGCCUGACUCUACGACUGAUGAGUUAGUCUCCAGCAUAAUAAUACAGAUGAGGGGUUUGUUCAGAAUGAUAUUUCACAAGCUGCACAACAUGCAUCCAGUUCAAACAAUGUUCCUGAAACUCCUCUCUUGGACCAAGGGAAUGGUAUUAGAGUAACUCAAGAUCAAGACCUUCCUUUAGUGGCGCAGCAAGAUGUUAGCUUAAUCGACAAGGCUGGGCGGAUAUGGUAGAACAGGAGCAAUUCACAACAUAUCUCUCCAAGGGUCAAAAGAAGAAACUGCGCAGGAAAGCUAGAAGCGCUGAGAAGUCUUAUAACACUCGGUCUAGGGGUGCACCUUCAAAUCUUUCUUUAUGAAGUUCCUUUAUUGGAACAUGAGGGGUAUAGGCAACCCCGAAACCAAAAUUGCCUUGAAAAAUUAUUGUGCUACACAUAAGCCAGAUUAUUUGUGUGGCUGAACCAAUGGUGUCCAUUAACCAAAUACCUUCAUGGUUUUGGAAAGGUAUGACUUGAAUACGAAUAGUUCACAUUAACUUGAAAAAGGUUGAAACCACUAUUUAUAUACAUAAGAGAUGGAGCAUAUCUAAAUAGGAAUGCUAUCCUGUCAUAACUCCAAAAGAUACUAACAAAUCAUACUACAAUAAAUAACAAUAUCUCAACAGUAUGCAAGCUGAUCAUUUUUGUGUGAAUGAUAGAGGAGAUUAUAAGGCCAAUAUUUGGGGUAUGUGGAGCAAAAAUAAUGCUGCCAAAGUUGUGUUUGCGUUGGAUCAAUGCUUUUCCUUAGAAAUACAACAAUCUGAUACAUGAGUUUAAUUGCAGCCGUGUAUGCUAGCACUUCAUAUUUGGUGACUUUAAUGCGGUGUUAGGUGCUCAUGAAAAACAAAGGAAGAGAUUGCCUCCCAGGAUCUCUUGUGAUGAUUUUUUACAGUGGACAAAUGCUAAUCUUUUGUCUCAUUUAAACACAGUUGGUGUACACUUUACGUAGUCUAAUGGUAGAGUCGGUAACAACUUUGUGGUGCUGCGUUUAGACAGGGCCAUUUGCAAUCACGCUUGGUUGAACCAUUGGCAAUCAACACAUUGUUGUGCACUUUACAAACAUUGCUCUGAUCAUCAUCCGUUAGUAAUUAGUCUGAGCGAAACAGAAGUUCAGCAUGCUAUGCC